AUCACUUCUCGGCCUUUUGGCUAAGAUCAAGUGUAGUAUCUGUUCUUAUCAGUUUAAUAAUCAUUUUCAACAAGAAUUUGGCAUUAACUUUCUUAACCUCAGUAAGAGAAGAGGGAUGGAUCACUGCAGGCCUUCCUGACACUUCAUUUUUGUUUUGGAGUGGAGAGGCCUUUCAAAGUUCUGAGAUCAAGCCACCGUAU
rfam:Fukomys damarensis contig101328, whole genome shotgun sequence.